AAAAAGGCAAACCCUGGGUUUCCGUGUCUAAGUUUGACCGUCUGUCUUAUUUGAAAAAAUUAUGAAAAAAAUUAAAAAGGUAAGUCACGCAUAAAGUAUUAAUCAUGUUUUAUCAUCUAACAAUAAUGAAAAUAUUAAUUAUAAAAAAAUUUCAUAUAAGACGAACAGUUAAACGUUAGACACGGAAACCACAAUUUGUCUUUUUC
rfam:Oryza glumipatula chromosome 7, whole genome shotgun sequence.